rnacentral:rRNA from 1 species
GGAAUAUUGGACAAUGGGGGAAACCCUGAUCCAGCAAUGCCGCGUGUGUGAAGAAGGCCCGAGGGUUGUAAAGCACUUUCAGUGAGGAAGAAUCCCUCGAGUUUAAUAGACUCGAGGAAGGACAUUACUCAAAGAAGAAGCACCGGCUAACUCUGUGCCAGCAGCCGCGGUAAUACAGAGGGUGCAAGCGUUAAUCGGAAUUACUGGGCGUAAAGAGUACGUAGGUGGUUUAUUGAGUCGGAUGUGAAAUCCCCGGGCUUGACCUGGGUAGGUCAUUCGAUACCAAUAGACUAGAGUACAGUAGAGGGUAGUGGAAUUUCCGGUGUAGCGGUGAAAUGCGUAGAGAUCGGAAGGAACAUCAGUGGCGAAGGCGGCUACCUGGACUGAUACUGACACUGAGGUACGAAAGCGUGGGGAGCAAAC